GUGGCAGCUUGGUUGUCAUAUGUGUGAUGUCACUUUCUACAGUCUUCCAGAAUGACAUAACAUGUAUGGCUACUAAACUGCUAC
rnacentral:pre_miRNA from 1 species